UGGGGAAUAUUGGACAAUGGGCGCAAGCCUGAUCCAGCCAUGCCGCGUGAGUGAUGAAGGCCCUAGGGUUGUAAAGCUCUUUCACCGGUGAAGAUAAUGACGGUAACCGGAGAAGAAGCCCCGGCUAACUUCGUGCCAGCAGCCGCGGUAAUACGAAGGGGGCUAGCGUUGUUCGGAUUUACUGGGCGUAAAGCGCACGUAGGCGGACUAUUAAGUCAGGGGUGAAAUCCCGGGGCUCAACCCCGGAACUGCCUCUGAUACUGGUAGUCUUGAGUUCGAGAGAGGUGAGUGGAAUUCCGAGUGUAGAGGUGAAAUUCGUAGAUAUUCGGAGGAACACCAGUGGCGAAGGCGGCUCACUGGCUCGAUACUGACGCUGAGGUGCGAAAGCGGGGGGAGCAAACAGG
rnacentral:rRNA from 1 species